CGCGGGGUGGAGCAGCCUGGUAGCUCGCAAGGCUCAUAACCUUGAGGUCGCCCGUUCGAAUCGGGCCCCCGCUA
rnacentral:tRNA from 1 species